GUCGACCUACGCGACUGGCGCUUCAAAAGGAGAAACUCUUGAUCUUAGUUUAGAGACCUAUCUUCAGAAGGGGCCUUUACUCUUUUGAUUAGCGUAGGGGUCGCGAGAGAGCAGAGUGUACCGCCCUACCAUAGUCACGAGUCUGUUUAUAGUCACGACAUUUGUCAUAGUCAAAGAGGUUGAAACUUCCAAGAAAAAACUUUGAAUUAGGAGGGCGAUCCUCCCGGUGAAUUGACCGUACCCAAAACCAACACAGGUGAACAAGUAGAGUAUACUAGGGUGCUUGAGAGAACCAUGUUGAAGGAACUCGGCAAAAUGACCCCGUAAAUUCAGGAGAAGGGGUGCUCUCCUUUCUUUUGAUUAGGAAAGCGGCACAUACCAGGGGGUAGCGAAUAUUUGUUAAAAACUUAGGUCUUUGCAAAGUUGUAACACGAUGUAUAGAGUAUAACACAUGUCGGUGCUGGAAGGUGAGAAGGAGAAGUGUUAUAAGCAUUGAAUGGAAAUCCCAGUAAACUGCGGCAGUAACUCUAAAUGUCCUAAGGUAGUUAAAUUCCUUGUCGCAUAAGUAGAGACCUGCACAAAUGUGUAACUACUGUCGCGCUGUCUCCAACAUGGACCCGGUGAAAUUGAAUUCUCCGUGAAGAUGCGGAGUACCAACAGCUAGGCGGUAAGACCCCGUGCACCUUAACUAUAGAUUCGAGUGACAACCUUAAUUGAAUGAGUAAGAUAGGUGGGAAGUGGUGACACACAAUGAUAAACCCUGAAAGACCACUCUUUCGUCUAAGGAUUCCUAACCGCCACACCGAUCAUUGGGGGGAGGCAGGACACUGCGAGGUAGGUAGUUUAUCUGGAGCGGAUGCCUCUUAAAGAGUAACAGAGGUAUACAAAAGGUAGGUAAACAUAAUAUUCUGCUCAUGAGUGUAAUUGUAUAAGCCUGCUAACUGUGAGACCGACUGGUCGAACAAAUAUGAAAGUUGUCCAUUGUGAUCCAAGAGUCCCGUGUGGAAGGGAUCUCGCUCAAUUGAUCAAAUGUACGCCAGGGAUAACAGGCUGAUGAAUCCCAAGAUCCUUUAUCCACAGAGUCGUUUAGCACCUCGAUGUCGACUCAUCACAUCAUGUGUUUGAAGAAAGUCCCAAGAGUUCAGUUGUUUGCCGAUUUAAGUGGUACGUGAGUUGGUUUUAGAACAUCGUGAGAUAGUUUGGUUCCUAUCUACCGUUGGUGUUAAAGGGAGAACUGUGAGGAGCCAACCCUAGUACGAGCGGACUGGGUUGUGUUAACCUAUCGUGUACUGGUUGUUAUGCCAAUAGCAAUGCUGGGUACCUAAGUUGGUAUAGAAGAAUUGUUGCGCCGCAGGAAAUCCUUCUCUAUACAAGUUCUUGGAUGAGGUCUUUGAACAGAACUUCGAUAGGCGAGAGGUGUAAGCUCCGCGAGGUGUGAAGCGAUCUCGUACUAAACGAAAUGACUUUCACUU
rnacentral:rRNA from 1 species